rnacentral:misc_RNA from 1 species
GACAAGGGUACGGAUAUGGGUAUUGAGAACCUGGAUCAAGGGUUCACUCACAUCUUUGAAUCUACCUUUGGGAGUACUAACGGAGUUGCGGAGUAUGUAUCUCAUCCUCUACAUGUUAAAUUUACCAAUUUGUUCUUACCUGCUUCGGAGAAAGUUCUUGUGAUUGACUACAAGCCCACUACUCUUCGCCUCUAAACUGUGAGGGUAA